GACGAACGCUGGCGGCGUGCUUAACACAUGCAAGUCGAACGGAAAGGCCCUGCUUUUGUGGGGUGCUCGAGUGGCGAACGGGUGAGUAACACGUGAGUAACCUGCCCUUGACUUUGGGAUAACUUCAGGAAACUGGGGCUAAUACCGGAUAGGAGCUCCUGCUGCAUGGUGGGGGUUGGAAAGUUUCGGCGGUUGGGGAUGGACUCGCGGCUUAUCAGCUUGUUGGUGGGGUAGUGGCUUACCAAGGCUUUGACGGGUAGCCGGCCUGGGAGGGGGACCGGCCACAUUGGGACUGAGAUACGGCCCAGACGCCUACGGGAGGCAGCGGUGGGGAAUAUUGCACAAUGGGCGGAAGCCUGAUGCAGCAACGCCGCGUGCGGGAUGACGGCCUUCGGGUUGUAAACCGCUUUCGCCUGUGACGAAGCGUGAGUGACGGUAAUGGGUAAAGAAGCACCGACUAACUACGUG
rnacentral:rRNA from 1 species